rnacentral:rRNA from 1 species
GACGAACGCUGGCGGCGUGCCUAAUACAUGCAAGUCGAACGAAGCUGUUUUAACUGGUGCUUGCAACGACUUAAACAACUGAGUGGCGAACGGGUGAGUAACACGUGGGUAACCUGCCCCAAAGCGGGGGAUAACAUUUGGAAACAGAUGCUAAUACCGCAUAACCACAGAAACCACAUGGUUUCUGUGUCAAAGAUGGUUUCGGCUAUCACUUUGGGAUGGACCCGCGGCGUAUUAGCUAGUUGGUAAGGUAAUGGCUUACCAAGGCAAUGAUACGUAGCCGAACUGAGAGGUUGAUCGGCCACAUUGGGACUGAGACACGGCCCAAACUCCUACGGGAGGCAGCAGUAGGGAAUCUUCCACAAUGGACGAAAGUCUGAUGGAGCAACGCCGCGUGAGUGAAGAAGGUUUUCGGAUCGUAAAACUCUGUUGUCAGAGAAGAACGUGUGCGAGAGUAACUGUUCGUGCAGUGACGGUAUCUGGCCAGAAAGCCACGGCUAACUACGUGCCAGCCGCCGCCGUAC